ACUCAAAGGAAUUGACGGGGGCCCGCACAAGCGGUGGAGUAUGUGGUUUAAUUCGAUGCAACGCGAAGAACCUUACCUACUUUUGACAUGUAUUGGAAGACUGGUAGAGAUACCGUCGCUCGCAAGAGUCGAUACACAGGUGCUGCAUGGCUGUCGUCAGCUCGUGUCGUGAGAUGUUGGGUUAAGUCCCGCAACGAGCGCAACCCUUGCUUUUAGUUGCCAGCAUUUAGUUGGGCACUCUAAAAGGACUGCCGACGUUAAGUCGGAGGAAGGUGGGGAUGACGUCAAGUCCUCAUGGCCCUUAUAAGUAGGGCUACACACGUACUACAAUGGUAACUACAGACGGAUGCUAAGCUGCAAAGUGGUGCAAAUCCUAAAAAAGUUAUCUCAGUUCAGAUUGGAGUCUGCAACUCGACUCCAUGAAGGCGGAAUCGCUAGUAAUCGCGGAUCAGAAUGCCGCGGUGAAUACGUUCCCGGGCCUUGUACACACCGCCCGU
rnacentral:rRNA from 1 species